AGCGCUUGCUGCUUCGCUGACAAGUGGCGGACGGGUGAAUAAUGUCUGGGAAACUGCCUGAUGGAGGGGGAUAACUACUGGAAACGGUGGCUAAUACCGCAUAACGUCUCAAGACCAAAGAGGGGGACCUUCGGGCCUCUUGCCAUCGGAUGUGCCCAGAUGGGAUUAGCUAGUAGGUGGGGUAACGGCUCACCUAGGCGACGAUCCCUAGCUGGUCUGAGAGGAUGACCAGCCACACUGGAACUGAGACACGGUCCAGACUCCUACGGGAGGCAGCAGUGGGGAAUAUUGCACAAUGGGCGCAAGCCUGAUGCAGCCAUGCCGCGUGUAUGAAGAAGGCCUUCGGGUUGUAAAGUACUUUCAGCGGGGAGGAAGGGAGUAAAGUUAAUACCUUUGCUCAUUGACGUUACCCGCAGAAGAAGCACCGGCUAACUCCGUGCCAGCAGCCGCGGUAAUACGGAGGGUGCAAGCGUUAAUCGGAAUUACUGGGCGUAAAGCGCACGCAGGCGGUUUGUUAAGUCAGAUGUGAAAUCCCCGGGCUCAACCUGGGAACUGCAUCUGAUACUGGCAAGCUUGAGUCUCGUAGAGGGGGGUAGAAUUCCAUGUGUA
rnacentral:rRNA from 1 species